rnacentral:rRNA from 1 species
AUUGAACGCUGGCGGCAGGCCUAACACAUGCAAGUCGAACGAGUGGCGGACGGGUGAGUAAUGUCUGGGAAACUCCCUGCUGGCGGGGGAUAACUACUGUAAACGGUAGCUAAUACCGCAUACCAUCAGAUGUGCCCAGAUGGGAUGAGCUUUUGGGUGGGGUAACGGCUCCCCACGGCGACGAUCCCUAGCUGGUCUGUGAGGAUGACAAGCCACACUGGAACUUGGACACGGUCAAGACGCCUACGGGAGGCAGCAGGGGGGAAUAUGGCAAAAUUGGCGAAAGGGUGAUGCAGCCAUGCCGCGUGGAUGAAGAAGGCCUUCGGGUUGUAAAGUACUUUCAGCGGGGAGGCGUUACCCGCAGAAGAAGCACCGGCUAACUCCGUGCCAGCAGCCGCGGUAAUUC